rnacentral:rRNA from 1 species
GAUGAACUCUGACAGAAUGCUUAACACAUGCAAGUCAACUUGAAUUUGGGUUUUUAACUUAGGUUUGGGUGGCGGACGGGUGAGUAACGCGUAAAGAACUUGCCUCACAGCUAGGGACAACAUUUGGAAACGAAUGCUAAUACCUAAUAUUAUGAUAAUAGGGCAUCCUAUAAUUAUGAAAGCUAUAAGCGCUGUGAGAGAGCUUUGCGUCCCAUUAGCUAGUUGGAGAGGUAACGGCUCACCAAGGCGAUGAUGGGUAGCCGGCCUGAGAGGGUGAUCGGCCACAAGGGGACUGAGACACGGCCCUUACUCCUACGGGAGGCAGCAGUGGGGAAUAUUGGACAAUGGACCGAGAGUCUGAUCCAGCAAUUCUGUGUGCACGAUGAAGUUUUUCGGAAUGUAAAGUGCUUUCAGUUGGGAAGAAACAAAUGACGGUACCAACAGAAGAAGUGACGGCUAAAUACGUG